rnacentral:rRNA from 1 species
AGUGAACGCUGGCGGUAGGCCUAACACAUGCAAGUCGAACGGCAGCACAGUAAGAGCUUGCUCUUACGGGUGGCGAGUGGCGGACGGGUGAGGAAUACAUCGGAAUCUACUUUUUCGUGGGGGAUAACGUAGGGAAACUUACGCUAAUACCGCAUACGACCUACGGGUGAAAGCAGGGGAUCUUCGGACCUUGCGCGAUUGAAUGAGCCGAUGUCGGAUUAGCUAGUUGGCGGGGUAAAGGCCCACCAAGGCGACGAUCCGUAGCUGGUCUGAGAGGAUGAUGAGCCACAGUGAAACUGAGACACGGUCCAGACUUCUACGAGGGGCAGGAGUGGGGAAUAGUGGAAAAUGGGCGCAAGCCAGAUAGAGCCAUACCGCGGGUGAAGAAGGCCUUCGGGUUGUAAAGCCCUUUUGUUGGGAAAGAAAAGCAGCAGGUUAAUACCCCGCUGUUCUGACGGUACCCAAAGAAUAAGCACCGGCUAACUUCGUG